rnacentral:rRNA from 1 species
CUACGGGGGGCUGCAGUGGGGAAUAUUGCACAAUGGGCGCAAGCCUGAUGCAGCCAUGCCGCGUGUAUGAAGAAGGCCUUCGGGUUGUAAAGUACUUUCAGCGGGGGUGAAGGGAGUAAAGUUAAUACCUUUGCUCAUUGACGUUACCCGCAGAAGAAGCACCGGCUAACUCCGUGCCAGCAGCCGCGGUAAUACGGAGGGUGCAAGCGUUAAUCGGAAUUACUGGGCGUAAAGCGCACGCAGGCGGUUUGUUAAGUCAGAUGUGAAAUCCCCGGGCUCAACCUGGGAACUGCAUCUGAUACUGGCAAGCUCGAGUCUCGUAGAGGGGGGUAGAAUUCCAGGUGUAGCGGUGAAAUGCGUAGAGAUCUGGAGGAAUACCGGUGGCGAAGGCGGCCCCCUGGACGAAGACUGACGCUCAGGUGCGAAAGCGUGGGGAGCAAACAGGAUUAGAUACCCCCGUAGUC